rnacentral:rRNA from 1 species
GAUGAACGCUAGCUACAGGCUUAACACAUGCAAGUCGAGGGGAAACGAUAUUGGAAGCUUGCUUCCGAUAGGCGUCGACCGGCGCACGGGUGAGUAACGCGUAUCCAACCUGCCCAUCACUUGGGGAUAACCUUGCGAAAGUAAGACUAAUACCCAAUGACGUCUCUAGAAGACAUCUGAAGGAGAUUAAAGAUUUAUCGGUGAUGGAUGGGGAUGCGUCUGAUUAGCUUGUUGGCGGGGUAACGGCCCACCAAGGCGACGAUCAGUAGGGGUUCUGAGAGGAAGGUCCCCCCACAUUGGAACUGAGACACGGUCCAAACUCCUACGGGAGGCAGCAGUGAGGAAUAUUGGUCAAUGGGCGAGAGCCUGAACCAGCCAAGUAGCGUGCAGGAUGACGGCCCUAUGGGUUGUAAACUGCUUUUAUAAGGGAAUAAAGUGGGAGUCGUGACUCUUUUUGCAUGUACCUUAUGAAUAAGGACCGGCUAAUUCCGUGCCAGCAG